AGAGAAUGAUAUGAAAGCGAAAACUGAAAUACCUUUACUGAGAAAAACCUCAGCCAGGUUCCUGACAACUUUAAGAUCAAUGACCUUCAGGGAAACUUGGCCUGAGAACCACUCCCCUAAAACCCUCCUUGUGGCCAUAAGGGAUUUUGAUAUUCAUCCCUAGCUAUUGAUCACUUCCUUCCAUCCAUCAUGAGACCAGAACAACGGCCAAGACAAGUCCAUCCAGCAUGCAGCGAAACUUGGAACUUGACCAUCAGAUGACAGAUCAUCAGUGCACUCAGAGGAAGAUCUUGACCAAAAGGGGCAGAUGUGUCAUUCAGAAUCAGAAUGGAGUCACUCACAUCAACACUGAUACACAUAGCCAGGAGAAGCAGAGAGAGAGGUAUUCCCAACAAGGCCUUCAUUCCAAAACCCACUCAGCCUCAGUAGGCCAGGACAAUGCACAUGUACACGCACCUGGCUGUACAGGGAGACCUCGGACGCAAACCCAGGUCCUGACCAUUUGUCUUCAGCAUCGUAGAAUGUGGCAUUACCACUACACCACGGGAGGGGCUCUAGAAAACAAGCUUUGAAGCUCUUCUCUUCUCUCAUACUGACCUCCUAUUAAAGACUCAAAGGUUUGGAAUGAUAAACAUUGUUACUGACAUAGCUGAAGAAAGCUUAACCAGAAAGAAGUUGUCCUGAGCUCACCCCCAUGGAAGAUGGGAUUUAUAAAUAUGCUGCUCGCCUAAAACUCAUCAAUAAA